rnacentral:lncRNA from 1 species
AUGAAUGUUCUUGUCACAUUGCUGGAGCAAAUAAAAUUAGAGGUGGAGGCUCUUGAUGCUGAAAAAACAAUUAUUAGCCAGGAGUCGAAUUUCAAAUCGGAGCAAUUAUUGGCGUUGCAGAGUGAAGCCGCUGCACUCAAGGAGGUUGGUGAAGAACUGAAAUUGAAAAUAAUGGAGACAGGUCAUAGAGGGGAACUUCUAGAAAUUGAAAAUUGUAACCUGGCAAAAGCAUUGCAGUUGGCAGAAGAUGAGUUGAAGACUGUUAAAAGUAUGAUGGAUCAGCUCAAUUUUCAAGUAGUUGCUAGCAAAAAUCUGAUGUCUGAAAAGGACACUGAGCUUCAAGGAAUGGAACAGAAGCUUUAUCUUACUGAAACUGAGAAAGUUGUGUUGCAUCAAUUUUUGAUGAAUGAAGUCGCUGCACUCAAAGAGGGUAGUGAAGAACUGAAAUUGAAAAUAAGGGAGAAAGAUCGCAGAGGGGAACUGCUAGAAAUUGAAAAUUGUGACCUAGCAAAAGCAUUGCAGUUGGCAGAGGAUGAGUUGAAGACUCUUAAAAGUAUGACGGAUCAGCUCAAUCUUCAAGUAAAUGUUGGCAAAAAUCUGUUGUCUGAGAAGGACACUGAGCUACAGGGAAUGGAACAGAAGCUUUAUCUAACUGAAACUGAAAAAGCUGUGUUGCAUCAAAUUUUGAUGAAUGAAGUUGCUGCACUCAAAGAGGGUAGUGAAGAACUGAAAUUGAUAAUAAGGGAGAAAGAUCGCAGAGGGGAACUGCUAGAAAUUGAAAAUUGUGACCUAGCAAAAGCAUUGCAGUUGGCAGAGGAUGAGUUGAAGACUCUUAAAAGUAUGACGGAUCAGCUCAAUCUUCAAGUAAAUGUUGGCAAAAAUCUGUUGUCUGAGAAGGACACUGAGCUUCAGGGAGUGGAACAGAAGCUUUAUCUUACUGAAACUGAGAAAGCUGUGUUGCAUCAAAUUUUGAUGAAUGAAGUUGCUGCACUCAAAGAGGGUAGUGAAGAACUGAAAUUGAUAAUAAGGGAGAAAGAUCGCAGAGGGGAACUGCUAGAAAUUGAAAAUUGUGGCCUAGCAAAAGCAUUGCAGUUGGCAGAGGAUGAGUUGAAGACUCUUAAAAGUAUGACGGAUCAGCUCAAUCUUCAAGUAAAUGUUGGCAAAAAUCUGUUGUCUGAGAAGGACACUGAGCUUCAGGGAAUGGAACAGAAGCUUUAUCUUACUGAAACAGAGAAAGCUGUGUUACAUCAUAUUUUGAAGAGUGAAGUUGCUACACUCAAAGAGGGUAGUGAAGAACUGAAAUUGAAAAUAAGGGAGAAAGAUCACAGAGGGGAACUGCUAGAAAUUGAAAAUUGUAACCUGGCAAAAGCAUUGCAGUUGGCAGAAGAUGAGUUGAAGACUGUUAAAAGUAUGAUGGAUCAGCUCAAUCUUCAAGUAAAUGUUGGCAAAGAUCUGUUGUCUGAGAAGGACACUGAGCUUCAGGGAAUGGAACAAAAACUUUAUCUUACUGAAACUGAGAAAGCUGUAUUGCAUCAAAUUUUGAAGAACUUGAGCA